rnacentral:rRNA from 1 species
CUACGGGGGGCACCAGGCGAGAAAACUUUGCAAUGUGCGAAAGCACGACAAGGUUAAUCCGAGUGGUUUCUGCUAAAGGAACCUUUUGACAGUCCUAGAAACACUGUUGAAUAAGGGGUGGGCAAGUUCUGGUGUCAGCCGCCGCGGUAAAACCAGCACCUCAAGUGGUCAGGAUGAUUAUUGGGCCUAAAGCAUCCGUAGCCGGCUCUGUAAGUUUUCGGUUAAAUCUGUACGCUCAACGUACAGGCUGCCGGGAAUACUGCAGAGCUAGGGAGUGGGAGAGGUAGACGGUACUCGGUAGGAAGGGGUAAAAUCCUUUGAUCUAUUGAUGACCACCUGUGGCGAAGGCGGUCUACCAGAACACGUCCGACGGUGAGGGAUGAAAGCUGGGGGAGCAAACCGGAUUAGAUACCCGUGUAGUC